rnacentral:rRNA from 1 species
AUGCAGCGCCCCAUCCACUGCUCCACGCUCCAGACGCGCAGCUGCUUCCUCGGCUCAAGUAACGGCUGGUUCGCCGUCGUCAGCGAGUAUAGGCUGCAGAUCUUCCUCCUGAAUCCCCUUACCGGCGAGGAGAUCAGCCUCCUUCGGAUUAAGAAUUGCGGCAAGAGGGUGCGCAAGGUCGUAUUCGCGCCGAACCCCAGACCCGACGACUACACCGCCGUCGCCAUAUGCAACGGCAACAAGCUCGCCUACAGCAAGACCCGGGAUAUGAAGUGGUUCAUCAGCGACGUCGCCAUGGACAGGGGGGACCAGCUCAUCGACCUGGUCUACGACACGGACGGUGGCAAGGUCUACUGCCUUACAGAAUGCGGGGACGUGCACGUGCUCCACAUUCCCCGUGGCCGCCGCCGGAAGCCUAUAGUCGAGCCCUUGCUGCCGGAGCGCCCGUUCGACCCCACGGCCGUCUUCGCACCGCCCUACCACACAGCUUCUAAGCUCACAAGGUUCAAGCAGAUCUUCAUCUGUAAUGGUAGCCUGUACCAGGUAUGGCGGAAUGCCACCGGUAACAUCGCUUGGCGGCUGCCAGAGGGCGGCCGGUUCAGCAUGUCCGACAACGACAUCUUCGUUCUGAGGUACGACCCUGGGCUCAGACCAUGCUGGGACACGGUGAAUGAUCUGGGCGGCUACUCAGUGUUCAUCGGCAAGAACAACCCAGCGGUGGUCCGGGCUGAGGAUGUCCCCGGGGUGAGGGCCAACUGUGUGUACUGGAUCGAUGAGCGGUGGAGAGACGUGCCUAUGGUGUUCGACAUGGUCACCCGAACCUCUGCACCCUUUGUUCUUCCCUCUGCUGACAGUGUUCAAAGCCCCCUAUGUGGAACAGGCUGCUGGUACUUCUUCAGUGAUAACAUUACAAGCAUCGACAACAAUGGAAGGAAACAGCACAUGAGUGGAGACGCCGACAGAUCUCAAGAACAACAGGAAGCUAAAAGAUCUAAGUUAUAA